UACGUAGGCAGCGAGCGUUGUUCGGAGUUACUGGGCGUAAAGAGUGCGUAGGCGGUUUUCUAAGUUUGGUGUGAAAUCUCCCGGCUUAACUGGGAGGGUGCGCCGAAGACUGGAAGGGCUAGGAGUAUGGGAGAGGUAAGCGGAAUUCCUGGUGUAGCGGUGAAAUGCGUAGAUAUCAGGAGGAACACCUGCGGUGUAGACGGCUUACUGGACCAUAACUGACGCUGAGGCACGAAAGCGUGGGUAGCAAACAGG
rnacentral:rRNA from 1 species